UGAAUGAAACAUUGUUAUGGAAAAUGUCGCUAUCUUUUUAUCUGGUCUGUGGAUAGCCUCAGGAAAAUCUCUGUCUUCCAAUGGUAGUAAUAUUAAUGUCAUCCUUUCCCUCAGAUAAGUUCAUACCUCUGAUAUGUUAGAUGUCUGUGGUAGAAAUCCUGUUGAGGUUAACACCUUUCCACUGUUCCUGGGGCAGAAAGUUUCAGGAAAGACCCAGAAGGUGAUGGGUGAAAGAGGGAUCAUCUGUUGAACAAAGAGUGAAAAUGCUGAGUGACUGUCUCCUCCCCUGAGCAGAACGCAUCCUGGACACCCCAUGAGAUAUCCUGCAAUUGCAAAGAUGAUUUUAGAGAGUGACAUGAUUGACAAUUUUAUGAAACUUUUCAUGGAAUUAUGAAAUUCAUACUGGAAUAAUUCUGAUUUGGGGAUUUCCCUAGGAAACAUCAACUCUUAGUAAAACCCACUGGAGAAUUUGCAUACAGUUGUAGAGGAAGGAAUAGUACCAUGCAACAAGUAUGACUCCAAUGGCAUUUCCAUCAUCACAAUUUCCUUUUUUCCACAACUCAUUAAAAAAACAACAACGAAGAGACUCUUUUUCACUGAACUGCCUCUAAUCAUUCAUGAAGUUGAAAUAGGCUUGUGUGUAAGGCAUGUUUUAGCAUUGAUGAGGAGUACAGAUGGAUCAUGUAGCACAUGAACCCUUCCUGGCUAGCACAUGUUCCCAGGAGCAUUGGUAUCUUAGAGUCCUCUGUUUUUUGUUGGAGGUGAUGCCAGCACAGAACCUGUCCCCACAUCACAGCUGAAAACAACGGGAGUGCCCACUUACAGUAAUGCCGUAAUAUUAAGGACACACGUAACUCUCAGGAGGAUCCAAGGCCACAGACUUUGUGAGGAAGAACAUUUGGACGAUAACAACUGCUCACACAAGAAGUAACAAGAGCAUGUCCAGGAAUCAGACGAUCAACUGUAUAGCACUGAAUCUCAACUGAAUCAUGCUGGAACUUUGCAAGGAAUGGUGUGCAUGUCUUCAGUUUUAGAUACAGCCUUAUUAUUUCUGUUCUGUAAAGUAGUGUAUGUGUGAAACAUUUUUCUUUGAUAAGAUUAUCACUUACAAAAUUAAUUAUAACUGUUUCCAAUCCAUUGAAAUUUAUCAUUUUUGUUAUUUAAAUCAUUUGCCAUUUUGACGUGUAUUGACUCUCACGUUUAUGACGUGAAUGUAAAAGAAAUGUCACCAUUUGAAAUAUUAACAAGAGGACUUUGUAUUUUCUCCAUUUUAGAGGAUGUUGAAGCAAAUACAUAAGAAACUAUAGUCUUUACAGUUUGAAUAACGUUGUGGUUUGUGAAGAAAAAGAUUUCAUCACACUUGAGGAGUUGAGAAAUGGUAGUAUGUGAAUAAGAAAAAUAGUGUCUAGACAUUACUUUUUUCUCCCUCAAUGUAGUUAUUCCAUUAACCUAAUUUAUUUGUGUUUUAUUUAGUGAAUGCAGAUCCCAUUCCUUUAGCAAGGAGGCCACCCAACUUCAUUGUUCAUAUGCACACUUUACAAAGGCACUUCUUGCAUCCUCUUUUAACACAUGGCUCCACUAAAGCUGCUCUAACAUUGACCAGCAUGCGCUAGAAGAGCAAUUUAACUUGUUGAUUUAAUGCACUGUUUACCUCCAACAGAUUUGGAUCUGUGAUGUAGUGGUCAGAUUUAGAAAUAGGUCUGGGAAAAGCUUCAGUACUCAGCGCAAAGCUGUGUGUAACAAAGAGGAACUUUGCUCUUGGAAUCCCAUUUGGGCUCAUUCUGAUGAGGGACUCCUUUGCUCAUCAGUAGACCUGGACUCGUGGUCUAAUCACCUGCUUCUGGGUACUUGUGUCUAUCCAACUGACUUCAGUACUCCUUAGCUGUACCCUCCUCUCCUGUAGGUAACACUACAUUCUGCCUAGGCCCUGAAGGCUCUAAUAGGCUUAAAUUACCUUGACAACCCUCAUCUGGACCUCCACCCCACACACCCACUGCCCAUGGGCCCAGGAGAUCUAUUUAAGCUCAGGCCCAGGCUUUCAAUCCCUAUCUUGAGCUAUGUUGUGCUUUCAGGAUAUUUUUUUCAGUACUCUUUUUUUUGGUUAUUUUUUGGAUUUCUUGGUUUAACCUUGGAUUUGACUUUCUACCUUGCCUUUGCCUGAUGGUUGCUGGUGGGACCUGUGGCGGUCAUGGCUCCUGCUCAUAGGUCUGUGCUCUCUUGGACAAGAUUUGAAUAACCACGUGUCAAGGCAAAAAUAUUGUGGUGAAGCAACGAGCAAGCCAAAUUAGGCACAAACUGUGAAGACGACCAUGCAGGAUAUGAAGAAAAGAAAUUAAGGUAGUCACUUCUUCUUGUGUUGGAAGACUGUGAGCAACCAUUCACUUUCUUUAUGCCACUUAUGAUUUUAGAGGGUUUAUCUCAUUGUUUAUGAGUCCUUUCUCUUCCAGACUGAGGAAUACAAAGACAUCAGAUCAAGAUCUCUGACUUUUUUUUAAUGCAUGUGCCUGUAACUUGCAGCUGUGUGAGGCAAGCACUGAAGAGAACUCACUCUGUCAAGAUAUCACAAAAAAACAAACUAUGAACAGCAUUGGAAAAACAUCUCUGGAAUAUUAGAAUUUUGCAGUAAAUUUCAUAAGAAGUCUGAUCUUGGGAAACUGACUUAACUUUGAUUAGAAUUAAAUGAGCAAUUUCAUGCUGAUGGGAUGUAGGCAAUGGUUAUUAAUUAUUCAUUUGAUCUGUUUCAGAGUGCUUUGAUCCUUGCAGAAGCAGAGUUGCAUCAGUAAGGCCUCAGCCAUAUAGGUAUUGGAUAUUUAUGAUAUUCUGUGGUGUUGGAUAGUUACGGCUGCAUUACUGAAUACUGAUUUCUUAGUUAAGUAUGUUGCUGCUUCAGCUGCAUACAGGGAAAGAGAGCCAGACUGCAGCCUUUUGUAUUUUGGUUCAAUUUCUUUGAUUGCCUCUCUUCACCUUUCAGAAGAGCAAUGCGUUGGCUGAAUGACUUGUAUUUGAAAUCUGUCUUUAUGUUGUUGCUAAAGAACCUAAGCUGCUGCUGUGCUGAAACCUGGCAGUCUUACAUUUGUCAGCAGCAUGAGGAAAGACAUGAGAGAGGCAUGGAGAACAAGGUGGAACUGGAGCCUGUGGUAGAAACAGUCACUGUCCUCUUCAAUAAUUGGAAAGGGAUGAGGUCCUACAAAAGCAAAAAGACAGAUUCAAAUGAUGUUCAAUGGCUGUCAAGUUUUAUAGCCUUAAGAGCAGUUAAUGGAUCCCUCCUGCUUUGCCUUUGAUUGAUCUCUGCAUGGUCCACACUUGUUCCAGGCAUUGGCACCUCCAACGCCUUUGGGUUCUGUUGGGGAACCUUGCCAUAGCAGCUCUGCUACUCAGAAUCUUGCUCCCUUUUCCUUGUCUCUCCUAUACUUGGUUUAGUGUCUCCUACACUUGGUUUAUAUCCAUUAUUUUUAAAACAUCACCAGUUUAAAACCUUUGUCAGUGCUUUCAUUUUAGAUGUCCUGAUGUUAACUUGGUACAACACCCAGAAGAGCACACUGAGCAAACUCUGCUCUAUGUGCAUGGUUGCUUAAAGCAAGCAUAACAUGGCACAGCUAUCAGAGGUGGUGAUUUCACCCUCCUUUUUCAUUCCUUUCAUGGCAGCAGUAUUCCCCUGACACGAGCAAAAGCCAUUUGUGUGGUCACACUGUGCUGGAGGGGGGAACUGGUUACUGGUCUGAUUGUUUUAGCUAAUUUUCAGCUGGAUCAGUUUUUCAUCCUGAUUCUCUAUAAGCAACAGAGAGGCAAGGAUGUGGGCCAAGAACAGUGCCCCAGGAGGUGGAGAAUUUGACUUUCCUUUCAUGGAGAUCCAACUUAUGUCACGAUAAAGAGUUUGUGAGCCUGUAAGAGUAUGCUUCUGACGGUCACAGGCAAGCUAACCUUGCAUUAAAAACAUUACAUAUGCCCUGCCAAGUCAUUGUAGUAUCUAACUACAUAUAAUGACUCUGUACCUAAUUACAACAGCACAACUGUGUAUUCAGAAAGGUAGUAAUUGAAAUAGGCUAUGGUAAGAAUUGUUCAGAUUUAUUUUCUAAAUUUCCUUUUCACCUCUUAUACAGAGUGGAGAAUCACUUUAAUCUGAUAUUGCUUUUUACAGGAGUAAAGGUGCCCAAGAAGGUCUGAAAAAGGAAAAUACUAAUUUUCUCCCUAUGCUUUGACAAAUGAAUUAAAGUGGAAAUACCAUUUGGAGGUCAAACAUAAGAACUAACUGACAUUUUUUAACUGCUUUGGAAAAUGCAAAACAGCAGUACAGCAGUUCAGGAAUCUUCCCUCUUGCAACCUUCCUCCCCCAAAAAAGUUCCAAUAGGUUUUGGAGGGUUGGGAAGAAUUUCUAUGGUCAGACAAAAAUGAUUUAGGUGCCUUAAAGAAUUGCCUACCUUGUCUGUACUGUUGGUGCAUUUUGCUUGAAUGGUAUUUUUUUAUGCUCCUGUUUUUAUUAUGGCAUUUCCUACUGAGUUCAUUCUAGACUGUAGAAGUUGUUUAGCCCAUAACUGCAGGUUUUAGGGGUGUUUUUAGAUAUCAUUAGCCUAUACUAAGGACUGCUUUCAAGGUAAACAUAAAAUUCUUGUAGUCGGCUGAAUAGCCUUUGGGGCUUGUUAUAAAGAAAUUUCUGUUUAAAGACUGGUACUCUAUAUUUUAAUAACCAGGUCAAGCAGAAGUAAAACAGUGUGUUUUUUUUUCUUGGAUGUUUUUUAAACCACAGUUGUGAUAUCACUCAUUAUUCACUUGAGAUGACAUUAGAAUAAGUUAAUAUUAAAAUAUUUAAAUGUAGAAAAAAGAGUUUGAAAAUUUACAAAAAUUGAUCACCCAAGAUACAACGUUGGUGUUUCAUUAUUCACAGAUCUCUGAGU